rnacentral:rRNA from 1 species
UACGUAGGGUGCGAGCGUUAAUCGGAAUUACUGGGCGUAAAGUGUGCGCAGGUGGCCGCGCAAGUCGAGUGUGAAAUCCCCGAGCUUAACUUGGGAAUUGCGCUCGAAACUACGUGGCUAGAGUGUGGCAGAGGGAGGUGGAAUUCCACGUGUAGCGGUGAAAUGCGUAGAGAUGUGGAGGAAUACCGAUGGCGAAGGCAGCCCCCUGGGAUAACACUGACGCUCAUGCACGAAAGCGUGGGGAGCAAACAGG